GUUGAGGGCUUAGAUAUAUUGUUGAUGGGGAGUUUUUCCUUCCCUCAGAAGCAUCAAGGAUAGGCCACUCGCAGAGGCCAAUCUUGGACUUGAUGCAGUCUGGAAUCAAGUCCGACAGAGCCUGUAGGAUACACAAACCAACUGGAACGCCAGGGGAGCGACAGUUAUGCCUGAUGCCCAGGGCUUGAUUCUCAGUUUGCUUAAGCUAGUUUGACACCAGCUGUUUUGCUCCAUUGACUUCAGGGGAGCUGCUCCUGAUGUAGACCAGGGAUUUGCUUCUCGGCCGGAUGCUAUUUAAUAUUUAGUGAUCUAGAAGAAAACAUAAAAUCAUUGCUGAUAAAGUUUGCAGAUGAUGCAAAAAUUGGGGGAGUGGUAAAUAAUGAAGAGGACAAGUGGCUGAUCCUGAGUGAUCUGGAUCCGUAGGAUUCCACAGCGGUUGGUGUAAUCAAACGCUCCGAAAGGGAGAGGAAAGAAAGGGAAAAGUCAACAGCAAAGCACGUUAACCGAGUGAGAAGGAUCAGCUUGAGAGCCAGAUUUCCAAGCGGUAGCUACGAAAACAAAAGUACUCAAGACCAGGUGCAAGCUGCGAUUACUUAGAACAAAAAACCAACACAAUCCCAAUUUUGCUGAAGCUAAGAGAAAUAUAACUUUUGUACGAGAAAGCAGCCCAAGGCAAACAUCAGCCAACUCCCAGUCUGAGCAGCAGGUCAUAAAGCAAACCCAGAAUCUGCACAACUGCAGAAAAACAGAGGGGAAUACAACAUUCGAAUGAGAGAUGGGGGGGAAAUAACUUUUAUACAUGUAUGACAAGAAAACCGCUGAAUAAAACAAAUUCAACAUCACUGCCAGCAUGGCUUGUUGCCCAGCAAAAUACAAAACAGUGCAAGUAGAAUGAAAGCAAAGAAAGCCACUGAUUUCCAGAACUGGAAGAAAUGCAAGAUACAGAACAGGUGCAGGGGAGCAUCUUGGGGGUUUUACCAAACAGUGCUCAGGAAAGAAAAGAAAGUCAGACAGAGAACUUGUGGGAACAUGAUCAAGCAGAAUCAAGUCAGGAAAAUAAAAGUAACAACUGCACAAUCCCUUCCACCGAUAAA